rnacentral:rRNA from 1 species
UACGUAGGGUGCGAGCGUUAAUCGGAAUUACUGGGCGUAAAGCGUGCGCAGGCGGUGAUGUAAGGCAGAUGUGAAAUCCCCGGGCUCAACCUGGGAACUGCAUUUGUGACUGCAUCGCUGGAGUGCGGCAGAGGGGGAUGGAAUUCCGCGUGUAGCAGUGAAAUGCGUAGAUAUGCGGAGGAACACCGAUGGCGAAGGCAAUCCCCUGGGCCUGCACUGACGCUCAUGCACGAAAGCGUGGGGAGCAAACAGG